UAAUCGUUGAAAUUUAAUAAAAAUAAAAGUUGAUACGUCAAAAUGUUCAGAUAAAUAAACUCUAUAAAAUGGCUAUCUUCAAAUUUUUCAAAAAUAAUAAAAUAAAAUUGUUUUUACUAAAACAUAAAAAAUGAAUUGAAAUAUAAAUAUGUAUAAUCCUUUACCCAGUGAGUAACAAAAAAAAAACAUAAUUCGAUUAUCUUUAUUAUCUUCGGAGAUAUUACAAUGCGUAUACCUUCGUGGGACACCCUGGAAAUGUUCUGAAAGGGUUGUAAUAUUUACGAUUUUCAUCAAAAUUUGAUUUCCCGUCUAAAACAAAAAAAACAUGUUCACGCAUUUCUGUUCAAAAAUGAAUCGAAAUGUUUUGAAAAUUUUACCACGUCUAAAAAAACUAAAUAUAAGUUUUUUAUCAAAAUUUCAAGUCUUUAAGGAUAUUUUUAACUGAAUACCAUUAAAAAACAAAAGUUAAAAUAAUAAAAUAAUUAUUUCCGUACAUUUUUCCGUUCUUUAACUAAUUUAAUUUAAAAUAAUUUGGUUUUAAAUUUAUUUACUUUAAUUAAUUUUCCAAUGACAAUUAAUAAAUUAACUAUAUAUUGUUUCAUAUGUUACGGUGUCAUUUUAGUACGCCGAUUUGUAAGAAUGUUUUUGUGUAUGCUGAAGGACCGUUCGACAUCAACCGAUGUCACUAGAGAAUAUUGUAAGUCAGCUACCAUAGUCAGUGAAUAAUUUUCCAGAAGUUGUACUGUGUUAUUUCCAUUGAAAACUUGUCCAAUAUUUUUCAAAAAUUUGUAUCCUUAAUUUUUUUGUUGAAGUUGCAAUAUUUUUGUUUUCACUACUUCUCUUUUUUCUCCUGGUAUCUGCUUAAGUUGUAUAAAAGUGUUUUCGAUAAUAUUUAACAUAUCAACUAAAGGCCUAUUAAAUUUUUUAAAACUUUUGAUAACUGUAACAAUUAUUAGAAAAUUAGUUUUAAUAAAAAUUAAAUCAUUUUUUACAGACUGUAGGUGUAACAUUUUUGAAUUUUUCAAUACUAACCGACAACUUUUCUUCACUUAAUUUGCCUAUAACAUUUUAAAACCCUCAAAUUUUCACAAUUAAAUACAGCGGCUUCCAGCCAAGUUCCCCCUCCCUUAGUUAAUACAGGUUCUGAAAGUAAUGGCAUAUUGGGCAAUAUUUUUUUGUACACCUGGACAUGAUAUGGCACUUUUAAAAAUACUUUUUAAUAUUAUUAAUCAGUUUGCUCACAUUUGGAAACAUUUCUCUGAUCUUCUCUGCAAUUCUGUUCAUCAUGUGAACUACACACGUAACGUGAAUUAAAUUUGGGUAGAAAACUUUUAAUGUAUCACCAGUUUUUGUCAUGUAUGGAGCUGCAUCCGAAAACAUUAAUAGCAAUUUUUCGUCAUUUCCACCCAACGGUCAUGUAACGGUCAGUAAUGCACUUUCAUCUAGAAUACGUUUUCCAGUGUAUUUCUCUAAAAAUUUACGAAAUUGAGGCACUUGAAUUUUAUACCAAGGUAUAUUAGCUGUUACUAAGGCUAGACACAAAUUUUUAUUAAAAUCAUUUAAAUUGCUUUCAUUGGGAGUAACUCCUAAUAAAAAUAAUUGUUUUCACGAAGUAUUUAAUUUACGAUUCAAAUAAUUUUUAUGGAUAGUCAUAUGUACAUUUUACCUAUGACUUUUUGAUGCAAGGAAUAUUUUUGUCACAAACUUGACAAAAAAAUUGUUGUACUAUCUAUCGUGAAAAUCGUUUAUUGGUUAUUGUACGACGAAAUCCAAUUAAAAAAAUAAAUUUUUAAAACUGCUUGAAGUUUUUAGCAGACUUGUAUGUUAUUGUAAUACGAAUGGAAAGACAAUAUUUAAGCAUUCAAAUAUCAACACGUACCGCCACGGACGACUGAAUGGUCGUGACAGCUAACGAAAUAACCGGUGUGUUAUCACCAUCGAUAAGGAAUAUCUGCUGAUUAAUUUAUAUUAGAACCCAAAAAUAAAUUGUAUAGUGAAUAUUGUAUUAUACGUGAAAUAUGUUCAUUAUAACGAU
rnacentral:lncRNA from 1 species